UUAGUUCUCCUGGAAUUGGGCUACCUUCAAUCUUUCCAUAGACUAGAUUAUAGUAUUAGUUAAUGGCAGUGCAAACUUCCUCAUUUAGACCUACCAAUGUGCCUCUACCCUGAACUGGAGACAUCACAUCUAGAGGGAGAGGGUAGUUCAGUCCACAUGCCCAUUGAUUUCCACCCCCU
ensembl:misc_RNA